rnacentral:rRNA from 1 species
UUAGAGGAAGUAAAAGUCGUAACAAGUUUCGUAGGUGAACUGCGGAAGGAUCAUUACCGAGUGAGGGCCCUCUGGGUCCAACCUCCCACCCGUGUUUAUUUUACCUUGUUGCUUCGGCGGGCCCGCCUUAACUGGCCGCCGGGGGGCUUACGCCCCCGGGCCCGCGCCCGCCGAAGACACCCUCGAACUCUGUCUGAAGAUUGAAGUCUGAGUGAAAAUAUAAAUUAUUUAAAACUUUCAACAACGGAUCUCUUGGUUCCGGCAUCGAUGAAGAACGCAGCGAAAUGCGAUACGUAAUGUGAAUUGCAAAUUCAGUGAAUCAUCGAGUCUUUGAACGCACAUUGCGCCCCCUGGUAUUCCGGGGGGCAUGCCUGUCCGAGCGUCAUUGCUGCCCUCAAGCCCGGCUUGUGUGUUGGGCCCCGUCCCCCGAUCUCCGGGGGACGGGCCCGAAAGGCAGCGGCGGCACCGCGUCCGGUCCUCGAGCGUAUGGGGCUUUGUCACCCGCUCUGUAGGCCCGGCCGGCGCUUGCCGAUCAACCCAAAUUUUUAUCCAGGUUGACCUCGGAUCAGGUAGGGAUACCCGCUGAACUUAAGCAUA